CGCCAUCUUCUCUCCCUCAGGCCCCGGCGCGAUCACUAUCAAUCACAUACCUCCAGACCCAGACCCACCCAGAGGCUUGGACCUCGUGCUCCUGCCCGCUGACAGAGCCCUAGAGACGGGGAAGAAGGUUUGAGUGCAUAUGAAGAUGUGUCAGUCCUGAUCGUUAUCUGUCUUUGCUGGGUGUAAGUUCUGGUCCAGCAAAUGAGACGUGAACUCCAGGCCCUGUACUCUGUAAGCAUAUGAUCUUGAGCUUUACCUGCGAGUGGAAACAGCCCUCUCCAUAAUGGUUAACCAGCCCUGACGCAGACUCUGCUGCAAGACGACAUUACCAGAAAGGACACCAUGCUCUGAGCAGUUACAGGAUGAGGAGGAGACAGAAAUGACAGCGGGAGAUGAAGAGGAGCAGGAUGAUGAUGACUCCUCAGCUUCCUACUACUCAGCCGUUAGCUCUCUGAGUGACCGGGAAGACCUGCCAGGGGAGAACAGGGUA